rnacentral:pre_miRNA from 1 species
UAUGUACUCCCUCCGUUCGGAAUUACUUGUCGUAGAAAUGGAUGUAUCUAGAUGUAUUUUAGUUCUAGAUACAUUCAUUUCCAAGACAAGUAAUUUCGAACGGAGGGAGUAUGUA